UGAUCUCCCGGGAGCACAGCACGAGGGAACCACUACCGCGGAAAGCGAAAGCAAAGGACGGAGUCGUGGUUUCAGCCACAGUCUCGGUGUCACUGGAGCUGUGUCAAGCAGCGAGAUUGUGACCAUGGCCUGCUCCGCAGAGCCAGCCUGGUCUGAGAACAUCUGCACAGAAACAAAUCCAGAGGAAGAGAAGGUCCUGUGACCUAUUUCUUAUACAGAAUUAUCUUUCCAGGGAGCAACUCUUUAUAAUCACCAGGACACAGAUGUACCACCACUGAAACUUAAUUGCUAUUUAUAGAGAGAAAAGUUAAUAGACUGAUUUUUUCAUCAAUAUUAACUUGUUCUGCCAUAUUUCCUAAACCUUUAGCAACUGCCAAUGCUCUCCAACACUGGUAGAUACACAGAAUGCAAAAACAGGA
rnacentral:lncRNA from 1 species